AGCGAACGUUAGCGGCGGGCCUAACACAUGCAAGUCGAACGCGAAAGGUCUUCGGACUGAGUAGAGUGGCGCACGGGUGAGUAACACGUAGGUAAUCUACCCUUUGGCGGGGGAUAACGUUCCGAAAGGAGCGCUAAUACCGCAUAAGACCACGGAGUCUCCGGACGCUGUGGGAAAAGGUGGCCUCUUCUUGAAAGCUACCACCGAAGGAUGAGCCUGCGUCCCAUCAGCUAGUUGGUAAGGUAAUGGCUUACCAAGGCGAAGACGGGUAGCUGGUUUGAGAGAAUGAUCAGCCACACUGGCACUGGAACACGGGCCAGACUCC
rnacentral:rRNA from 1 species